rnacentral:rRNA from 1 species
UACGUAGGGUGCAAGCGUUAUCCGGAAUUAUUGGGCGUAAAGCGAUCACAGGUGGACAAGUAGGUCUGGUGUUAAAUACCCACGGCUCAACCGGGGUGCCGCAUUGGAAACCGCUUGACUAGAGGAAGACAGAGGCAGGUGGAAUUUCCAUUGUAGGGGUUAAAUCCGUAGAUAAUGGAAGGAACACCGAAAGCGAAGGCAGCCUGCUGGGUCUUUCCUGACACUGCUUGAUCGAAAGCGUGGGGAGCGAAACGG